rnacentral:rRNA from 1 species
CUGGCGGCGUGCCUAAUACAUGCAAGUCGAGCGGACCGACGGGAGCUUGCUCCCUUAGGUCAGCGGCGGACGGGUGAGUAACACGUGGGUAACCUGCCUGUAAGACUGGGAUAACUCCGGGAAACCGGGGCUAAUACCGGAUGCUUGAUUGAACCGCAUGGUUCAAUCAUAAAAGGUGGCUUUUAGCUACCACUUGCAGAUGGACCCGCGGCGCAUUAGCUAGUUGGUGAGGUAACGGCUCACCAAGGCGACGAUGCGUAGCCGACCUGAGAGGGUGAUCGGCCACACUGGGACUGAGACACGGCCCAGACUCCUACGGGAGGCAGCAGUAGGGAAUCUUCCGCAAUGGACGAAAGUCUGACGGAGCAACGCCGCGUGAGUGAUGAAGGUUUUCGGAUCGUAAAACUCUGUUGUUAGGGAAGAACAAGUACCGUUCGAAUAGGGCGGUACCUUGACGGUACCUAACCAGAAAGCCACGGCUAACUACGUGCCAGCAGCCGCGGUAAUACGUAGGUGGCAAGCGUUGUCCGGAAUUAUUGGGCGUAAAGCGCGCGCAGGCGGUUUCUUAAGUCUGAUGUGAAAGCCCCCGGCUCAACCGGGGAGGGUCAUUGGAAACUGGGGAACUUGAGUGCAGAAGAGGAGAGUGGAAUUCCACGUGUAGCGGUGAAAUGCGUAGAGAUGUGGAGGAACACCAGUGGCGAAGGCGACUCUCUGGUCUGUAACUGACGCUGAGGCGCGAAAGCGUGGGGAGCGAACAGG